CCCAGUUCGGAUUACAGCCUGCAACCCGGCCUGUAUGAAGCUGGAAUCGCUAGUAAUCGCAGAUCAGAAUGCUGCGGUGGAUACGUUCCCGGGUCUUGUACACACCGCCCGUCACACCAUGGGAGCCAGGAAUGCCCGAAGCCAGUGGCCUAACCGCAAGGGAGGAGCUGUCGAAGGCAGGCCCGGUAACUGGGGUGAAGUCGUAACAAGGUAAC
rnacentral:rRNA from 1 species